UACCAGCCCCCUGAGUGGUAGGGAUGAUUAUUUGGCCUAAAGCGUCCGUAGCCGGCUUAGCAAGUCUUUCGUGAAAUCCAGUGACUUCAUCAUUGGGCGUGCGAGAGAUACUACUAGGCUUGAGGACGGGAGAGGUCGACGGUAUUUCGGGGGUAGGGGUAAAAUCCUAUAAUCCUCGGAGGACCACCAGUGGCGAAGGCGGUCGACUAGAACGUGCCUGACGGUGAUGGACGAAAGCUGGGGGAGCAAACCGGAUUAGACACCCGGGUAGUCCCAGCUGUAAACGAUGCGGGCUAGGUGUUGGGGCAGCUACGAGCUGCUCCAGUGCCGCAGAGAAGUCAUUAAGCCCGCCGCCUGGGAAGUACGGUCGCAAGACUGAAACUUAAGGAAUUGGCGGGGAGCACCACAAGGGUGAAGCCUGCGGUUC
rnacentral:rRNA from 1 species